UACGGAAGGUCCGGGCGUUAUCCGGAUUUAUUGGGUUUAAAGGGAGCGCAGGCCGCAGAUUAAGCGUGACGUGAAAUGCCGCGGCUCAACCGUGGAAGUGCGUCGCGAACUGGUUUGCUUGAGUGGGUACGAUGCACGCGGAAUUUGUGGUGUAGCGGUGAAAUGCUUAGAUAUCACGAAGAACCCCGAUUGCGAAGGCAGCGUGCAAGUCCCUUACUGACGCUAAUGCUCGAAAGUGCGGGUAU
rnacentral:rRNA from 1 species